GAUGAACGCUGGCGGCGUGCCUAAUACAUGCAAGUCGAGCGAACGGACGAGAAGCUUGCUUCUCUGAUGUUAGCGGCGGACGGGUGAGUAACACGUGGAUAACCUACCUAUAAGACUGGGAUAACUUCGGGAAACCGGAGCUAAUACCGGAUAAUAUUUUGAACCGCAUGGUUCAAAAGUAAAAGACGGUCUUGCUGUCACUUAUAGAUAGAUCCGCGCUGCAUUAGCUAGUUGGUAAGGUAACGGCUUACCAAGGCAACGAUGCAUAGCCGACCUGAGAGGGUGAUCGGCCACACUGGAACUGAGACACGGUCCAGACUACUACGGGAGGCAGCAGUAGGGAAUCUUCCGCAAUGGGCGAAAGCCUGACGGAGCAACGCCGCGUGAGUGAUGAAGGUCUUCGGAUCGUAAAACUCUGUUAUUAGGGAAGAACAUAUGUGUAAGUAACUGUGCACAUCUUGACGGUACCUAAUCAGAAAGCCACGGCUAACUACGUG
rnacentral:rRNA from 1 species